GGAAAGGUUGAGGUAUACCUUUGUGAUUUUCUAAUGAGUUUUCCAUGGUGCUACAAAUAAUCCAGACUACCAGGUCUGGUAGAUAUUAAAGCUGGGUACUAAGAAAUGUUAUUUGCAUCCUCUCAGUUACUCCUGAAUAUUCUGAUUUCAUACGUACCCAGGGAGCAUGCUGUUUUGUCAAUCAAUAUAAAAUAUUUAUGAGGUCUCCCCCACCCCCAGGAGGUUAUAUGAUUGCUCUUCUCUUUAUAAUAAGAGAAACAAAUUCUUAUUGUGAAUCUUAACAUGCUUUUUAGCUGUGGCUAUGAUGGAUUUUAUUUUUUCCUAGGUCAAGCUGUGUAGAAGUCAUUUAUGUUAUUUAAAUGAUGUACUGUACUGCUGUUUACAUGGACGUUUUGUGCGGGUGCUUUGAAGUGCCUUGCAUCAGGGAUUAGGAGCAAUUAAGUUAUUUUUUCACGGGACUGUGUAAAGCAUGUAACUAGAUAUUGCUUUGGUAUAUAACUAUUGUAGCUUUACAAGAGAUUGUUUUAUUUGAAUGGGGAAAAUACCCUUUAAAUUAUGACAGACAUCCACUAGAGAUGGGUUUGAGGAUUUUCCAAGCGUGUAAUAAUGAUGUUUUUCCUAACAUGACAGAUGAGUAGUAAAUGUUGAUAUAUCCUG
rnacentral:lncRNA from 1 species